GACGAACGCUGGCGGCGUGCUUAACACAUGCAAGUCGAACGGAAAGGCCUGGUUUUUGUUGGGUACUGCGGUUGCGAGCGUGGGAGUCGGGUGAGAGUAACGUGCGCGUUCCUUUGCCAUAACUUGAAUAAGCUUGGGCUACUAGCUGUUAUUCGCGCUUGCUGUGUGGUGUGGUGUGGGUAGUGGCGGCCGAUUUGUUGGUGGUUGGGGAUGAACUCGCGGUGUAUGGGGUUGUUGGUGGGGUAGUGGUUUACCAAGGCGGCGCCGGGUAGCCGGCCUGAGAGGGUGACCGGCCACAUUGGGAAUGAGAUAAGGCCCAGACGCAGACGGGAGGCAGCAGUGGGGAAUAGUGCACAAUGGGCGGAAGCCUGAUGGAGCAACGCCGCGUGCGGGAUGACGGCCUUCGGGUUGUAAACAGCUUUCGCCUGUGACGAAGCGGGAGUGACGGUAAUGGGUAAAGAAGCACCGGCUAACUACGUG
rnacentral:rRNA from 1 species